rnacentral:lncRNA from 1 species
GGAAGGACUUGGUGCGAGCCUUCAGGUUGUGGUACCCAAGCCGUCAACGAGGCGGGCUAGAGGGGGCCCGGGGCCAGCAGGGAGCCCCAGCUGGGUGGGGAAUAGGGUUAGGAGUUGGGCAGGGUGUCCCAGCUCAGAUGAGUGGGCAGUGGGCAGAUGAAGGCUCGUGGAGUGUCCCCAGGAACAGUCAACACAGCUUUGCUGGCAGAGGGGACCAGCAGCAUGGAUGAGUCAAGAGGGAACUGGCUAUUUCCCUGGGCCCAAAGCAGAACUGUGCCGAGUGACCAGGAACGAGACAAAGAACCUGGUGCAGCUUAAGAGUGAGCCUUGCUAAGGCAUGUCCACCCUUCUCUACGGGCUGCCACGUUGGCACUGCACGACCCCGCCCCCACCCAUAGUUGAUUGGACCAGGCGUGGACAUGUGACCCAGCUGGGCCAAUCCGAUUCUCUCUCCCGGGCUCUGGAGCUGCAACGCCUUAAUGCUCUUGCUAGGGGAGCUGUCGGAGGCCAGGUCCUGCUGCAAAGACUGGGAAAAGGAGAGAGGAGUGAAGCGGGAGCAGAGAGAAGAAACACAAGAUGGUCUGGAUUGGUGACCGAUCAGAUCCCUACUUCCAGUCUCUUCUGGAGCCCUGGCUGCCUCCCUGCCCUUGGCUGUCAUGGACAAACCUUGUAAUAAAUUUCUCUUUUCCGUUGGUCCAGCAGGAGUGGUUUUCCGUUCCCUGCAGCUAGAAUCCUCGUUAAUACAGAUAUCUAAUAACAUCAUAAUAGUAAUAGCUGAGAUUUAUAGAAUGCUUAUUGUGUGCCAUGUACUUUUCCAAGGGGUUUAUCUGGAUUCUGUUAUUUAAACCUCUCGACAACUCUACGUGGUAUGCAUUGUUAUUCCCAUUUCACAGCUGAAGAAGCUGAGGCACAGAUAGGCUCGCUUGCUCAGGGUCACACAGCUAGUGAAGCCAGAUGUGAAGC